rnacentral:rRNA from 1 species
UACGGAGGAUGCAAGCGUUAUCCGGAAUGAUUGGGCGUAAAGGGUCCGCAGGUGGCUGUGUAAGUCUGCUGUUAAAGAGUCAUGCUCAACAUGAUCAAGGCAGUGGAAACUACAAGGCUAGAGUGCGUUCGGGGCAGAGGGAAUUCCUGGUGUAGCGGUGAAAUGCGUAGAUAUCAGGAAGAACACCGGUGGCGAAAGCGCUCUGCUAGGCCGCAACUGACACUGAGGGACGAAAGCUAGGGGAGCGAAUGGG